AUACAUCUAGACCAGGACUCCAUUUAAACUGGUUUAUUUCGCUAACGGAGUUUUGCAAUGGAGUUCUACGGGUGAAGGAGCAGCAAAUACAGGACCCUUGGGGUACAGGCUUGAGGACAAAAGAACCCCAAAGAAAAAUCUACAAAUAGGGGACCUCCAGGGAUAAGAGACGUAGUCUGUACCUACAUAAGAGAUGCAGAAAAACCACAAGUUAUCCAUUACAGAGGAAACAUUCUGCCAGUGUGGGUGUCUCAUGAAAGAUGAAUCCCUGCUUUUUGGACUAGACAAGCACUGCAAGAACUAACCACUGGUAAACAAAUGCUGUGAAUGACAAUCAUCCUACACAAAAAUAAAUUUAACAUAAAACAAACAGUGAAUGGAGGAGAAGACGACAGACAGACAGAGAUAUUGAUCCACCAUCUGGAACCUGUUAUGUUGUGAGCAACAGUGAGCUCUAGAAGAGCCAGCAUGGGAUGGGGAAAUAGUCAAGAUCAGAACACCUAAGUCACUGACUCUGCAUUGCUUUCAACAAAUUAUUUUAACCAUUCUAGGUUUUGAUUCCCUAUCAAUAAAGUGGGGAUAAUAAUCUUCUUUACAUCACAGAGUUAUGAAGAUCUAUCAGCUAAUGUCUGUAAAGUGCUUUGAAGAUGCAGCAGGUGCAAAGUAGUAUUAUGCAAAUAACACUAUUUAAGAAAAUCAUGAGUGCUGGAUUAAUUAAAUAUUAAUCCCUUUGAUAUUUAAAGGACACAUUUUUCAUAUUUUGAAGUAGUUAGUAUGUAUGUUAUAGCUUUCUAUUAAUUCUACAACAACAGUUUUUAACCUUUCCCUUCCAUAAAGCAUAAAAGAUUAGACUCCUCUGCAAACAUCUUUCCAAAAUCUAUUCUGGAUUCAUGGCUCAGAAACAGUUCAAGUUAUACACUUUGAUGAAUUAGAUGCCUACAUUCCAUAGAGGAACAUUUCUCACAGGAUAGAAUGUCACAGGCUUAGCUUACUGUAACAAAUUUUGCAGCAUGCAAAAUU